ACAGCUGCAGCCCACAAGCGAGUAGUGAUUCUCAGAGUCCCUUGGAGCAGCUUUAGUCACAGUCCCAUCAGCAGAAAUAUUGAAGUCUUUCGUUGGAAAAGCACCAAACCAGACAUUAGGAGGCACUGUAUACUGAGAAUUUGCUUGAAAUCAAGUCGUAUCGUCAUUGGUUUGCAAGAGGUUAAACAUCAAGAUGUUGGCAUUCAUAGGUUAGUAAGAAUCGUUGUAGCCUGUACACCAUCAAUGGAAAGGUCGCUCAUGUAGUGGUCGACGUCCCGAGGUCUAGCAGUUCUGCCAGUUAGUCACUUCUCAAGAACAUUAGGGACUUAAAGCUUAAGUGGCACAUCACGUCUUUGUUAAACUUGAGGCUUAUGUUCAUAUUGUGGGAAGUCAGGGUAGAGUUUUUAUGGUUGUUGUAAAUAGACUUACUAGACCCUUUAACUGUGAUAUAUAUGAGUAAGUGUUCUGUUGUACGAGAAUCUGUAUGUUUAAGUCGUGUUGACUAUGUGGUAAUGGUCUGUUAUAAGAUAUAGAUUGUUUAUCAGAUACCAAGGGCGUUGGUUCAUGGAAGUAUAUUGGCAAUA